CCUACGGGAGGCAGCAGUGAGGAAUAUUGGUCAAUGGGCGCGAGCCUGAACCAGCCAAGUCGCGUGAGGGAAGACGGCCCUACGGGUUGUAAACCUCUUUUGCCGGGGAGCAACGGGCGCCACGUGUGGCGCCACUGAGAGUACCCGGAGAAAAAGCAUCGGCUAACUCCGGUCCAGCACCGGCGGUAAUACGGAGGAUGCGAGCGUUAUCCGGCUUUAUGGGGUUUAAAGGUUGCUUAGGCGGAGCGUUAAGUCAGUGGUAACAUUGCGGGGUUAAACCCCUUACCGCCAUUGACACUGGCGCUCUUGAGUGGAAGAGAAGUAUGCGGAAUGCGUGGUGUAGCGGUGAAAUGCAUAGAUAUCACGCAGAACCCCGAUGGCGAAGGCAGCCUGCCAGGCCAUGACUGACGCUGAGGCACGAAAGCGUGGGGAUCAAACAGGAUUAGAUACCCUGGUAGUC
rnacentral:rRNA from 1 species